rnacentral:rRNA from 1 species
UACGUAGGAGGCGAGCGUUGUCCGGAGUUACUGGGCGUAAAGGGUGCGCCAGGCGGCGGUUCGCGUGGCGAGAUGAAAUCUCCUGGCUUACCUGGGAGGGUGGUCGCCAGACGGGAUCGCUUGAGGGUCGGAGAGGGGCGUGGAAUUCCGGGUGGGAGCGGUGAAAUGCGUAGAGAUCCGGGAGGAACACCGACGGCGUAGGCAGCGCCCUGGACGACACCUGGACGCUGAGGCACGAAAGCUGGGGGAGCGAACAGG